AUCAGACUGGAGCCACCAUACGCAGUGCCACGGAGGGCUUCACCUCCCCCUCAUCAGGGACCCAUCACCCUGGCGACGUUGGUGGUCACUGUGACAAGAACCUUCUCAUGCUUCCUGCAUGCGUAUUGGCUCAGCUGUGGUCACUGUGACGCGAAAACCUUUUCACCCUUCCUGCUUCCGCAUUGGCUAGGCUGACUUCGCUGCUGCGUUCAUGGAAGUCAGGCUGCGGCCGCUUUAAAAACAGAGGGCGGGGCCGGGCGCGGUGGCUCACGCCUGUAAUCCCAGCACUUUCUGAGGCCGAGGAGGGUGGAUCACGAGGUCAAGAGAUCGAGACCAUCCUGGUCGACAAGCUUCUUGGGAGGCUAAGACAGAAAAAUUGCUUGAACCCAGGAGGCAGAGGCUGCGGUGAUCGGAGAUUGCGCCAUUGCACUCCAGCCCAGGCAAGGUCUGGUCGGAGAGAGAGAGUCAAAUUACGUCGGUGCUGGGCCCAGCGAUUUGUCACAGUCCCCUUGGUCAGCAAGGCCCUGACAGGAAUGACAAUCAUCACUGUGCCUGUGAACUAAGUCCAGAAAUGAGUCACCAUCCCAUCUGUGACUGGAUCUGCAUAUGACAGCCUCAAUUUCAACUGUGGACCUCAUCUGUGAGUCAGAUUCAGAAUCUCACCAGUGGGAUACGUCCAUGCAUUAGGGUAAAUGUUCUACCUGUUGGCUGGAUGUACAUAUAAAAGACACAAUAUAAACUUUGUGUUGGGUCCUGUCAUGACAUUCUCUUUACCACCCAUGGACAUUAUAUAAUAUGUGUGAAUGCUGUAAUCCUCUGUGACUUUAGUACCAGUAAAAACUCAGGACCUUACUUGUUCUUAGCAUAGCCGUAAGAGGUAACAUCUCGUUUGUUGUCUGGGACCAGGUAUAAGAGUAAACACCAUGCCUGUAAGCUGGGUCCAACCUGUGGCCAGAUCUACAUAUGACAGACAACUUAAACUGGAUUGUGUCU
rnacentral:lncRNA from 13 species